rnacentral:miRNA from 1 species
CUUUGGGGAAUUAAACUGCAGAAAUAAAAGUAUGCAUGUGCAUGUGCAUAUGCAUACACACACACCCAUACAAACACACAAA